CCCAUCUAAAGGUUCUUCCGCCGUCACACCAAUCAAGCCAUUUUUCCUGACAUAACUCUUUAUCAUCUUUCCAAGAUCCUGUUCCAAACCCACCCAUCAGAUCUUUGAUUUUCAUCGGCAAUCACUUCAAAACAGUUUGAAGAAAUUUCACCUGUUUUACUUCAUCUCUGGCGAAAGUUGCAGGAAAGAGAAUUUAUUUCAGACGUUAAUACGGGCUUUAUUGUUGGAGUGGAUAUUGAGUUAGGAUUCUUAGGGUUGUUUGUAUCACUUCUACUCAAUUAAGUUAACGAAGGCUUUCGGUGAUGGGGACUAUCAGUUCUACUCAAUUAAGUUAAAGAGUUUGGUGACGGCGUGUUUAUCACUUCUACUCAACUAAGUUAAAAGAGGAAUUUGAUGACGAUUCGACUAUCACUUCCACUCAAUUAAGUUAAAAAAGGAUUUAGGUGAUGACUCGAUGGUGUUAUGGUUGAAGAGAUUUUGAUGACCACUUGACCUGACGAUGUUAUGGGCGAAGUGAAUAUUAAGUUGGACUUCGAAGACUACUUGACGGUAUUAUGGUUGAAGUGAAUAGAGUUAGAAUUCUCUGGAUGUCAUUUCCACUCAGCUAUGUUAAAGAAUGACUGAUGACAAAAAUAGUCAACCGUAUUAUGUAUAGUGACUAUUAUGUUAGAAAGUUUUUCUUUUUUUUGAACGAUGAAUAUUGGGUUAGAAUUCUCUGGCUUGUUUGGCAACGACUUUGAAACUACAAUCAAGUAAUGCGUGGAACUUGAAGGUGAUCGCUAAAUGUAAUCUGAUGUAAACAAGAUGUGAAUUGAAGUUGUGUUUGGGUGAGUUCUAAUCUUACAUGGCAAUUAUUCAUCAAGCCUUUGUAUGUUUGUCAAUCAAGCUUUAGUAAUUCCAUCAUGUGCAUGCUUUAUGUAUUAAUUGUUAGUUAUAUGGUUUAUAAUUCUGAUACUUUCCUAUU
rnacentral:lncRNA from 1 species